AAGAAUAGCUUCUUGGGGUUGGGCCAGAAUACCAACUGGCUGAAAGCUUAUUAGGCCCAAGUUGUAUUGUCCAACAAACAACCACUGCAGGCCUGCAGCCUGCAACUCGCAACUCUCAACUCUCAAAGUGAUCAAACGCAAGCCAAGAUCGUCGUUUUAGCGGAGAACCAGCCAUGGUCCAUGGAGAACGUCCCCAGGACACAAUAGUGAGAGUUCUGCUCCCCAACCUACAUACCAGUUAUCACCACAAAGGAAGCGGCUCUCCGAUGGCUGACUGGAUCCCUAUUUUCCCGCGCCUAUCAUAAUCGCCUCCACCUUCAGAUGUAUCCACUACCCGUAAACUUCUUCCUUACCAGAUUACAACAAAGAAUCAGAAGAUAUUGGAGCGCUAAUAUUGAGAGGAUUCGAUGCGAUUGGAGCAUUAAUUGCUGGGAUCUUUGAUUUAGAAAAAAACUGCUCGUGAGGCUAUUGACGCUGCUCUUCAAUUGAGAAAACUUCUCUCUGAGCAGUUGCGGAUUUGGAUAAUAGCCAUGUUCAACUUUUUGUCUCGACGAGUGGAAAUUCAACGAGCAUUGUAUCUCCUGCUUCUGUUGUUUACGAAGAUCAUCCCGAGGAGUAUGUUUGGAGAGAGGUUGUUUGAUUUGUUAUCAGCUUCCGAUCAAUGUGCAAUUUUGUAUUCCAUAGGCAAUCCACCUGGUGAGUCUCAGGGCCUGUUUAACUCUUGUAUAUAACAGCUGUUCCUGAUAGUGAUAACCAGAUAGCUGAUUCUAAUUAAUUAUCUUA